GAGAAGGGCGUUUGGCGAAUGCCUUGGCAGUAAGAGGCGAUGAAGGACGUGAUACUCUGCGAUAAGUCAUGGUUAGCCGAGAAUAGGCUUUGAUCCAUGAAUUUCCGAAUGGGGCAACCCACCUGACAGUUAGUUAUAAAUUGCUUCGGUAAUUUAUAACUCGCUGAAACAGGUACUUAUAGACUGAAUACAUAGGUUUAUAAAAGCAAACCCGGGGAACUGAAACAUCUAAGUACCCGGAGGAAAGGAAAUCAAUUAGAGACUCUGUUAGUAGCGGCGAGCGAACGCGGACCAGCCAAGCCUGAUAAGUGACCAGAAUGACCUGGAAAGGUCAGCCAUAGUGGGUGACAGCCCCGUAUGGGAAGCUUUGAAGGAUGUAUUAAGUAGGGCGGGACACGUGAAAUCCUGUUUGAAGAUCGGGGGACCACCCCCGAAGGCUAAGUACUCCUUACUGACCGAUAGCGAACCAGUACCGUGAGGGAAAGGUGAAAAGCACCCCGACGA
rnacentral:rRNA from 1 species